rfam:Oryza glumipatula chromosome 3, whole genome shotgun sequence.
AAUAAGUGCAGUUUUGCAUUAUUCACGUUCAACGUUUGACCGUUCGUUUUAUUUAAAAUUUUUUUAUGAUUAGUAUUUUUAUUGCUACUGGAUGAUAAAAUAUGAAUAGUACUUUAUGUAUGACUAAAUAUUUUUAAUUUUUUCACAAAUUUUUCAAAUAAGACGAACGGUCAAACGUUGAGUACGGAUAUGUACAGCUGUAUUUAUU